AAAAGUGCACUUUAUUUUCUUUUUUCUUCUUUUUAUUAAUUUAGCACAAGAGACCUUGAUCAACAAGCAGUACAAAAAAAACAUAACUUUCACUGGAAAUCAACAUAUUAUGAAGAAAACAAAGUCUUUCGUACAUGCCUAACUACCUUGCUAGGGGAGUUGAUUCAGUCAUCAUUUUAAUGGAAACUAAUGGUUCACUUUCAUAAUGUGUUGUUCUAUCUCUAAGCAUUCGUUCAAUUCUGUCACUACUUGAUGCAUAGUUGGCCUGCCAGUAGAAGUUGGAGUUGUACAGGCCAUUGCUAUUUCUACUGCUUUCCAGACAGAGUUAAUGUUGAAAUCUGCACCCAAGCUUGGAUCAACAACAUUUUUAAUGUCACCGUUUGCGAGCAUAGAACUGACCCAUUGACGCACGUGAAUACUCCUCUCAGCUCCCACGGCAAUCACUGGCCUUCCUGUGAUUAUCUUUAAGAGAACAACCCCGAAGCUGUACACAUCACUUUUCUCUGUUAGCCAGUUUGUCUCAGAAUACCUACAAGCCCAAAUUUGGAACCCAACCCAUGUCAAUUGUCAGUUCCCAAUUGAUCAUGAAAUUCUGUUACUUGAACAAAUAAACCAUUUCAUUUGAUUUGAUAUCGACUACUCACUCAGGGUCAAGGUAGCCAGGGGUACCAGCAACAACUGUUGAUACAUGAGUGGCACCUUCGACUGGGAAAGAUCUGGACAGUCCAAAAUCAGCAAGUUUUGCUUGGAAUUUGUCAUUUAAUAAGAUGUUUGAUGUCUUCACAUCCCUAUGCACGAUUGGUGGCUUGCUCCCAUUGUGCAGAUAUUCCAAUCCUACAUUCAGAUCCCAUCAGUUCCCUUGUGGCCAUAAAUAAUGAAAGAUAAAGUGGAAAUCAAAAUAAUGCAAGUUAGUUAACUCCAGUCUGGCUAACCUUUUGCUGCUUCAACUACAAUGUGAAGUCUCCUCUCCCACUUCAAAACAUUUGUGUUUGAACCUGACAAAAAUUUUUCUAAAUCUCCAUUAGCCAUGUACUCGUAGAUGAGCCCCAUGUUGGUGCCUUCAUCAAAGAACCCAACAAGUGUCGUCAAGUUCCGGUGAUGAACUCUCAAAAGAAGUUUGACCUCUGCCUGAAACUGCUUAUACCCCUGGACUGACGAUGGGGAGAGCAUCUUCACUGCUACUUGAGUGUCAUCAUCCAAGUAGCCAUGGUAAACUGUUCCA
rnacentral:misc_RNA from 1 species